UAAGCGACUAAGCGUACACGGUGGAUGCCUAGGCAGUCAGAGGCGAUGAAGGGCGUGCUAAUCUGCGAAAAGCGUCGGUAAGCUGAUAUGAAGCGUUAUAACCGACGAUACCCGAAUGGGGAAACCCAGUGCAAUACGUUGCACUAUCGUUAGAUGAAUACAUAGUCAAACGAGGCGAACCGGGGGAACUGAAACAUCUAAGUACCCCGAGGAAAAGAAAUCAACCGAGAUUCCCCCAGUAGCGGCGAGCGAACGGGGAGGAGCCCAGAGUCUGAAUCAGUUUGUGUGUUAGUGGAAGCGUCUGGAAAGUCGCACGGUACAGGGUGAUAGUCCCGUACACCAAAAUGCACAGGCUGUGAACUCGAUGAGUAGGGCGGGACACGUGACAUCCUGUCUGAAUAUGGGGGGACCAUCCUCCAAGGCUAAAUACUCCUGACUGACCGAUAGUGAACCAGUACCGUGAGGGAAAGGCGAAAAGAACCCCGGCGAGGGGAGUGAAAUAGAACCUGAAACCGUGUACGUACAAGCAGUGGGAGCACCUUCGUGGUGUGACUGCGUACCUUUUGUAUAAUGGGUCAGCGACUUAUAUUUUGUAGCAAGGUUAACCGAAUAGGGGAGCCGUAGGGAAACCGAGUCUUAACUGGGCGUCUAGUUGCAAGGUAUAGACCCGAAACCCGGUGAUCUAGCCAUGGGCAGGUUGAAGGUUGGGUAACACUAACUGGAGGACCGAACCGACUAAUGUUGAAAAAUUAGCGGAUGACUUGUGGCUGGGGGUGAAAGGCCAAUCAAACCGGGAGAUAGCUGGUUCUCCCCGAAAGCUAUUUAGGUAGCGCCUCGUGAACUCAUCUUCGGGGGUAGAGCACUGUUUCGGCUAGGGGGCCAUCCCGGCUUACCAAACCGAUGCAAACUCCGAAUACCGAAGAAUGUUAUCACGGGAGACACACGGCGGGUGCUAACGUCCGUCGUGAAGAGGGAAACAACCCAGACCGCCAGCUAAGGUCCCAAAGUCAUGGUUAAGUGGGAAACGAUGUGGGAAGGCACAGACAGCCAGGAUGUUGGCUUAGAAGCAGCCAUCAUUUAAAGAAAGCGUAAUAGCUCACUGGUCGAGUCGGCCUGCGCGGAAGAUGUAACGGGGCUAAACCAUGCACCGAAGCUGCGGCAGCGACACUUAGGUGUUGUUGGGUAGGGGAGCGUUCUGUAAGCCGUUGAAGGUGACCUGUGAGGGUUGCUGGAGGUAUCAGAAGUGCGAAUGCUGACAUAAGUAACGAUAAUGCGGGUGAAAAACCCGCACGCCGGAAGACCAAGGGUUCCUGUCCAACGUUAAUCGGGGCAGGGUGAGUCGACCCCUAAGGCGAGGCUGAAAAGCGUAGUCGAUGGGAAACAGGUUAAUAUUCCUGUACUUGGUGUUACUGCGAAGGGGGGACGGAGAAGGCUAGGCUGGCCGGGCGACGGUUGUCCCGGUUUAAGCGUGUAGGGGGAGUGACCAGGUAAAUCCGGUUGCUUAUCAACCCUGAGGCGUGAUGACGAUGCACCACGGUGCAGAAGCAGUUGAUGCCAUGCUUCCAGGAAAAGCCUCUAAGCAUCAGGUAACAUUAAAUCGUACCCCAAACCGACACAGGUGGUCAGGUAGAGAAUACUCAGGCGCUUGAGAGAACUCGGGUGAAGGAACUAGGCAAAAUGGUGCCGUAACUUCGGGAGAAGGCACGCUGGCGUUAGGUGAAAGGACUAGCUCCUGGAGCUGAAGCCAGUCGCAGAUACCAGCUGGCUGCAACUGUUUAAUAAAAACACAGCACUGUGCAAACACGAAAGUGGACGUAUACGGUGUGACGCCUGCCCGGUGCUGGAAGGUUAAUUGAUGGGGUCAGCCGCAAGGCGAAGCUCUUGAUCGAAGCCCCAGUAAACGGCGGCCGUAACUAUAACGGUCCUAAGGUAGCGAAAUUCCUUGUCGGGUAAGUUCCGACCUGCACGAAUGGCGUAAUGAUGGCCAGGCUGUCUCCACCCGAGACUCAGUGAAAUUGAACUCGCUGUGAAGAUGCAGUGUACCCGCGGCAAGACGGAAAGACCCCGUGAACCUUUACUAUAGCUUGACACUGAACAUUGAGCCUUGAUGUGUAGGAUAGGUGGGAGGCCUUGAAGUGUGGACGCCAGUCUGCAUGGAGCCAACCUUGAAAUACCACCCUUUAAUGUUUGAUGUUCUAACUCGGCCCCAUGAUCUGGGGUGAGGACAGUGUCUGGUGGGUAGUUUGACUGGGGCGGUCUCCUCCCAAAGAGUAACGGAGGAGCACGAAGGUUAGCUAAUCACGGUCGGACAUCGUGAGGUUAGUGCAAAGGCAUAAGCUAGCUUGACUGCGAGAGUGACGGCUCGAGCAGGUACGAAAGUAGGUCUUAGUGAUCCGGUGGUUCUGAAUGGAAGGGCCAUCGCUCAACGGAUAAAAGGUACUCCGGGGAUAACAGGCUGAUACCGCCCAAGAGUUCAUAUCGACGGCGGUGUUUGGCACCUCGAUGUCGGCUCAUCACAUCCUGGGGCUGAAGUAGGUCCCAAGGGUAUGGCUGUUCGCCAUUUAAAGUGGUACGCGAGCUGGGUUUAGAACGUCGUGAGACAGUUCGGUCCCUAUCUGCCGUGGGCGUUGGAAGAUUGAGAGGGGCUGCUCCUAGUACGAGAGGACCGGAGUGGACGAAUCACUGGUGUUCGGGUUGUCAUGCCAAUGGCAUUGCCCGGUAGCUAAAUUCGGAAGAGAUAACCGCUGAAAGCAUCUAAGCGGGAAACUUGCCUCGAGAUGAGUCUUCCCUGGGGCUUAAAGCCCCCUGAAGGAACGUUAAAGACUAUGACGUUGAUAGGCUGGGUGUGUAAGUGCAGCGAUGUAUUGAGCUAACCAGUACUAAUGAUCCGUGAGGCUUAACCU
rnacentral:rRNA from 1 species